GCGGCGGCGGCCGGAGCUGGAGUGGGAGGAGGGGAGGAACCUGAUCCUCGGUAGCGAAGGGCUGGAGGCAAACACCGAGCUCCCCCUGAGCCGCUCGGGAACAGGGAGGGUUCUGCUACCCUGAGGGGCCCUCCCCGCGGGGCAGAGGGAUAUCUGACUGAAAUCUGAGGAGCAGGAUUCCAGUGCAGAGGUGACUUUGGAGGAGAAAGGGUUUCCUCAGCAGUGCCCCCGAGCAGGGACCGCGCCAGCCAGCAGAAACAGCUAGUUGUUGUCUACAGUGAAGAAUAAUUGGAAGCAUGGUGCCUGCUUCUUUUCCUGUGGGGGGAAGUCACGACAUGUACUUCUGACUCUAUGCUUGCCUUGAGGAACAAUGGCAUGACACAGGGAUGUGGACGUUUUUCAACCAGAUGCUUCGGUACAGCAGUGUCGGCACACACCCAUCCUCGCCUAUGGCCAAGGGUUUCUCGUUUCUAGAAGAUGAAAGAUGUGAUGACUUAGGAAAAACUAGAAUCUGAGUAACUGUGGUGGGCACUGGGCCAGAGGUAGGCAUACACCUUGCCAUCCACAAGAGAAAGGCCGUUCUCUCCGCUUACUGUGUGCUGUUCGAGAUGUGAGUCUUCAGAUGUUCCCGCCGCCAUAUCUGACAGCUGCUGCCAAGAUUCCCUGGUGCGAUGGACUCUUAUACCUCUACAACCAGAAGCCCAAGGUAGAGUGUGAUGAUUCAAUCCAUACAUGCAAUGUGCACACAUCAAGUCAGCAGGAUUGGCCUUUCCGUCUUCUUGGACAUCUGUCAUGUCUUUGUGUCUGGAACCUGCAAAGGCCCCUCUUCUCAUUCUUCGAAUGGCAAAAAUAUUCAGGAAACCUAAGCCUGACUCUGGAACAAAUUCAGAUGCUGACAGAGCCCCAAACUGGAUAUUGGGAAGCAUUUUGAAAACUACUGUUCACCGAGAACACAGAGAGAAGCUUCCAGCACUCAGGAGAUAGAGAGUACCACCUGCGGAAUUAUAAUUCCUUUGAGGAUCCAGGUCAGGCACUGUCUCCGCUCCGAUUGGAUGUGCUCUAUCUGUUUGGUGAAUCUCAUCUGCAUGUGCUCUUGCUUGUUCCCAAACUCACUUGCGUUCCUCAAGAAGCAAAUUGUUAGAUACUCUCUCGUCCAGAAGGUCACAAGGGCACCUGGAGGGCAUCGGGAGUGAACCUGUAUGGCUUCUCCACUAUUGAAAGCCACAUCAGCUGUACACAUUUCUAACGAUUUCAGUUCUUCGUGCCACCCACAUCCUUGAGUAUGUCUCCCGAGACACACGUGAGAGUUUGUCCAGGUAUAGAUUAGGAUGGGAAUUGCCUGAAAUGGAUAUGCACCUUUGACUUUACCAGGUUGCCUUCGAGGCUAUUCUGCACAGUAAGUAGCUUAACCUUUUUUUUUUUUUCUCAAUGAUUUAUGAGUCUGUCUCUUGCUCCACACUGAGAACCAAUACCACCAAGUCUGUAAAGUCAACAUCAGGCUGGAGAGAUUGCUCAGUGGUCAAAGGACCUUAUGGGCAAGCCUGACAACCUGAGUUCGAUGUCCCAGACCCACACAGUGAGAGGAGAAGACUUCCUCACGUCGUCCUCUGAUCACCACACUUGUGCUAAGGCCCACAUCCGCUACAUAAAUACAUGUAAUUAUUAGGAAAUAAACAUCUACCUGGGGCUCUCAUAGAUUCUAAUAGCAUAGCUUAAGAGGAAAAUUGGAAACCGGCUUCAGAUGUAUGAUGGGCGGAGAGCCUCUCUCCCCCACCUAUGUGUAUAUGUACAACAGCCUAACACAUUGACACGUGAGUGUUAGUGAACUGUACGUCACUGUGGGAGAUUUACGCUGGUUCAUGGUUUCCGGCCAUAUGGCCCAUUAUAGAAGGGGGAUCGUGCCAUGGCUGAUGGUUGGGCUUUGGCAGAUUAUUCACAUUCUGGCUGGCCAGGAAGCACAGAGCUUAAUAGGAAAAGGAGCUGGGUUUUAACCUUCAAAAUUCCACCCUCAAAGACUCACCUCUGCCAGUUACAGCUCCUGCCACACAGUUUGACAGUCUUCCAAAACAGCGCCACCAGCUGGCACCAAGUGUUAGCACAUGAACCAUGAGAGCGUUCAUACUGAACUGCCUACCGACACAUCUGUGUUGGCUGUGCUUACAUCACUAAGAAAGGUUUGCUCCACAAACCUUGCAGAUACAUAUUUUUUUUUUGUUUUUUUGUUUGUUUUGUUGUUGGUUUUUUGUUUGGUUUGGUUUGGUUUGGUUUUGAGACAAGGUGCUAUAGAAGUUGCAAUCCUCCUGCCUCAGCCAUUCAAGAGCUAGUAUUACGGACCACUACACCCAGCACUGGAGAUGCGUUUGAAAGACAGCAGGGUGUGAUUUACCAGUCCAUAGGGUGGAACUUAAAGCCCUAUCUUUGCCAGUUACACUGACAGGAGGUGGUUGGUCCCUUUCUGGAUACGAGUCAAUGCUUACGACUGGGUGCAUGUUAGAGCCGCCUGGCAGCCUGCUGGGCGGUGUCACUGUGUGGCUUUUUCAAAGCCCAGAGGAAUCUGAGAAGCAAGUGAGAGGAACGAUGCAUGAAAACAAAAGGCAGUGGAAAGAGUGACCAGCCAGCAGGCUCCGGCAGGCUAGAACGCUCUGUCCUUGUUAUUGCUGCUUCAUGAAAAUGCCGCGGGCCUUCUGGCAGGGUCUACAAGGUAGAGGCUUCCUGGGAAAACAAAGAGCAGGGAUGUGGACCUGGAGGUUGGGGUUCUAGUUUCCCACUUCCCUGUGGAUGCUCCACAGUGAGGUCGGAGACCCCUGCGCCCCUCAGUAGGUGUCUGCUGACCUUUCCUCUGUCCUGGAUGCUUUCCCGAGAGGUUUUUUUCCCUCCCACUCACAAGCAGCAAGCUCUGGUCCCAGAGGCCUAGCAGGGCUCAUCUGGGAGAGAGGCUGGGUGGUGCCUGCUCUCAGUAGAGGGAUCUAGAGGUCAGCAGAGGGGAGGCAGCCGGGCCCUCCAUCCUGGCCAAGGCGUGUUUGUCACAAAGCAGUGACUCUGCUUGGGAUGGCCUCAUUCCCCCUGAGCUCGGAAGGACUGGCUGCUGCCGCACUAAGGCUGCCUCUCUUCAAUCUUCAAGAAACCAGGAAAGGGAAGAACCCGAGUUUUUACUCCUUGGAAGAAUUCUGGAUUCACCAGAAGUCAACCCCCACAUUCCCUCUUCAGAGUCUCCUUACUUUGACCUAUAAAAUACCGGAUUGCAAAGAAGGGACUUAGCCCACGUUCUCUUUUUGUCUUAAAAAGUGGCCGUGAGGACAGCGGUAAAAAUAGACCUUUGCGGAUACAAUAGGACCGAGCAGGGUGUGGUUGGCUGGCAGCUGCACAAGCCCUUGUUUCUUUUGGUCUUGGAAUGCUCUGGACUUUGCCUCUGCCCGGUGAAAUCCUAAAACACUAGCUUCAAAGUGGCUCCUUGGGAGUGAGACUCCUGUCUCUAGAGUCAGCCAUUCCCUUCUUCCUGAUCCCCUAGCAUUUCACUCUUACAAAAGGCAAACGUCAGAGCUGCGUAUAAAGGGGUCUCAGUAAGACCUCCCUCCUCUCUCUCUCUAGACCCCCUCGACCCUCCCUCCCUCUCUCUCCCCUCCUCCCUCUUCUCUCUCUCUCAGUACUACAUGGUGGAAAGGGAUUGAGGAAGACCCCUGACAUCCUUCUGCAUACAUAUACGCACAAAUGUACACACACACAUGCACACAAGCAUCCAUCAAAUUUUGUUAUAAUUGCUUAUUUGGGAUUGUACCUUAUUGCAUUUCCUCAGUAUCUACAGACUGUAUUUUAGCAUCAUAGUUUCUUAAUAGGUGUUUAUCAUAUGAGUCAAGGUUUCUUGUAUUUCUGUCUCAAGUGUUUGUCUGUUUGACUGCGUGCUUGCUGACUUUUUUUUUUUUCCAGUGCUGGGGACAGGUAGAAUACUCAGGGAUUCAAACACACUGGACAAGUAGUCUACCAUUGCAUACCCCCUCCAGCCUGCUUCUGUUUCUCAAUUAACCCUGGCCUCUUCUUCCUUAGGGUGAAGUGCUGGCAGUUUCAGUUCAAUGGAGAAUACAGGGUUUGCUAAAAUGAAAUGUAGUUUUUUUCCUAAGGAAUUGUUCUAGUAGGAAUGUGUUUCAGAUAUAUCACUCCUGUUACAGGCACAGGAACUGUUUUCAGGAAACAGUGCCACCAUUACCUCUGAGAGGCAAGUCCGUGGUUGUUAUUUUCCAUUUACAGAUGGGCAAAUGGACGUUUUCCUUUUCAUUUACCAAUUACUCUGCUUAAAGAAGUAUGUGAGGAGUGUUUGAGGGUUCCCAAGGUGUGAGAGACCGGUUCUUGCUCUGAAGAAGGUUAUACUCCUCUCUGAAUGAAAAUUCAUUUGCACAUGAAGGCAGCUGUGGUGAUGUGAGGUGUAGGAAGGGUCCCAGCAGAACUUCCAAAUGGAAUAUAAAAGGAAUGUGUGGGACUGAACUAAGGACCCACCCAGAAUGUGGACUAAGUCUCUCCUCUCAUGACCCUCAACGGAAAUCAUGACUUCUGCCAUGGAAUGCAGUUCCGGCCAUGAUCUGGGACUGAUAAAAAUCUCAAGAGGCAGCACCUUCAUUUCUACAACAGAGCUAAACUCAGGGGACCACAAGCUACCAGUGGGCACCGGAUCUGGCAUUCUAUGGGACCUCUCAUAGUGAAGUGCUGUUUCUGUAUCCUGCUGAUAUCUUGCUGUCAUAACUCUUGCCUCUGCCGGCCUUGCUCCAUGUUGUGAGGAAGUGAAUAGUCCCAGCCGCACAGCUAUCAUGGAACCACUGCUGCCCUGUAUUCCUCCCAUGGUGAACUGGAUUCCUUUAAACUGUGAUCUUCUCUCAAGUGGCUUCCUGUCAGGUCGAAACAAGAAAAGCAACAAAUACACUUGCAAUACCAGAGAGAAUCAGUGAUCAGGAGAGCACAGCCCACGCCACAGAACGAUCUAGACAAUGAUUCCUAAUCUCAUGCCAUUGAAUUUUAGCAGGCCGUUUGUUAUGCAGCAAUGGACGCCUAUGUCAGCGUCCUGCAAAACUAAGUGGGAAGACUGGUUAGACAGGCUACAUCCGGGUUUUUCAAUUCUUGUCAUCACUUGGCUUUUUAGAGCAGGUAUGAGGGCCAGGGAACUAUUGGAUAUUCGGCAGGUAUUGUUGGCUGUAGACACUACAUGCCUACUAUUGACUGGAUGCAGUUUAUCAGUAAAAACUUGCUGUGCUAGAAGCUUAGUGUUCAGUGUGGCAAAGUUGGAAGAUGGAGAACUUCUUAGAGGUCCUGCCUACUGGUAGGUGGUGAAGUCACCAGCCCUGCCCUUGGGAUGAACACAAUUCUUUAGGAACUCACAAAUUCAGUUCUCACAAGUAUGGAUUGUUACUGAGAGCCAAGUGAUUCAGCCUUUCUGCAUAUUGGAUUCCUUUCUGUUUCUCUGCCAUGUUGGAAUGCAAUGGGGUGGGGGGAUUUGUCAAAGGUCAAACAGAUAUGAUCACCUGAUCAUGAACUUUCAGUCUCCAAAACUAUGAAUCAAAUAAGCUUCAUUGUAAAGUGUCCAACCUCCUGUAUCUUGUUAUUGUGACAGAAGAUGAAUUAAUGCAAUGCCAGAAGCAGCACCCCAUAAUCAAAAGUAUCUGUAGAUACUGCUAAAUGUCCAUCUUGGGACACUGUACUUGAGAAAAAGAAUGAAAUGCAAUGGUAAGGUCUCAGACCAGGGGCUAGGAGAUCUAACUCAUUUGGUAGAGUGCGUGCCUAACAUGCACACAAUCCUGGCCUCCCUCCCAGGAGGAUCUAAACUGAGGAGGAUCAGGAGUUCCAGGUCAUCCUUGGCUUCAUAGAGGAUUCACAGUCAGCCUGGGGUAUGUAAGACCUUGUUAAAAGCAAGCAAGCAAAUGAGAGAGAGAGAGAGAGAGAGAGAGAGAGAGAUAUUUUAAUAUAUUUGGAACAAUGGGAAAGAUUCUUAUAUAAGGCAUUUAGACAAUUGUAGACAUUUCAAUAUGAACUUAAAGAUAUUAUUAAAUUAUUGCUAAUUUUCCCCAGCCUAAAAUGGUAUUAUAGUUAUAUUGGAUGCCCUUAUUCUUUGAAAGCAUAUGCUGGAUUAUUUUAAGUGAGAUGUCAAUUAAGAAAUUCUAAUAUUCAACUUACUUUCAAAUGCUUCAAUGGAUAAACAUGCCAAUUCACAGGAAAGGUGAAGAGAAUAUAAACAAUAACUGAACAGAGUUGAAAAGCAUAGGUAAUUAAUUGUAUUUCUUAAAACUUUGUGUGUUUUUAAAUAUUCAAAAUAAAAGGCUGGGGUUGAGGAGUCAUCUCUACUUCAUGAGCCUGUACUAACCUAAUACAUUAGGAGCAGGCUGCCUUAAAUGAAUCUGAGGUCCCUUUUGGGGUUGCCUGGUCAAUGAGCUAGCUCAAACCAUGUAUGUGAGGCUGGUCUGAGGCUUGGGGAAAGCUGUGUGUACCUGGAGAACAGCGAAUAAACUGAGUUUCCACUGGCUUCCUUUCCUUUAUAAAGCAUCCCACCAAAAGUCUAGGUGCCGUGUGAGAGAGUGAGUGCCUUGGAGCCCUGACAGCUGCAUCAACUACUCCCUCAUUCCCAAGCCAAUGGAGUGAGCCCCAGCCAUCUGGUUCCAUUUGCCGACCCUCCAUUUCCCAAGAGAGAGAGCUGUCCCUCCCUGAGUGUGUUAGUAAACAGAGUCUCAUCUCAUCUGUUCAGGUCAGACCCUGGUCUCUUCCUGCUUUCUGCCUCUACCCUGCCUCUGAAAUCUAACACUGGGCAGUGUUAUGUGGGUUUUUAAGGCAACUCUGGUAAACAGGUACCAAAACUCCAGGCUGCUUGGGGCUGACAUAGUCAGAUUAUCCCUUUCCCUGAGCAGGUGGCCCUCACUCUAGUGCAUAUAAAAGAAGAGACAGGAGUCCUUUAAACGAGACACAAACCACUCUCUGCUCAGAUAAUUGCCUAAGGAACAGUGGAUGAUGGGUUCUCUGCAUCUUCAGUUCUCUCAAUGAUACUGGCUUUGUAAAUGUUUUCUUCCCACAUUGUAAAACCAAAUUCUGUGUGUGUGUGUGUGUGUGUGUGUGUGUGUGUGUG